GACGAACGCUGGCGGCGUGCCUAAUACAUGCAAGUCGAACGAGAGCGCCCGGUGCUUGCACUGGUCAAUCUAGUGGCGAACGGGUGAGUAACACGUGGGUAACCUGCCCAUCAGAGGGGGAUAACAUCCGGAAACGGAUGCUAAAACCGCAUAGGUCUUCGAGCCGCAUGGCUUGAAGAGGAAAAGAGGCGCAAGCUUCUGCUGAUGGAUGGACCCGCGGUGCAUUAGCUAGUUGGUGAGGUAACGGCUCACCAAGGCCGUGAUGCAUAGCCGACCUGAGAGGGUGAUCGGCCACAUUGGGACUGAGACACGGCCCAAACUCCUACGGGAGGCAGCAGUAGGGAAUCUUCCGCAAUGGACGCAAGUCUGACGGAGCAACGCCGCGUGAGUGAAGAAGGUUUUCGGAUCGUAAAACUCUGUUGUUAGAGAAGAACAAGUGCUAGAGUAACUGUUAGCGCCUUGACGGUAUCUAAACAGAAAGCCACGGCUAACUACGUG
rnacentral:rRNA from 1 species